rnacentral:lncRNA from 1 species
GGAGAUGGUACCGUGUGCUAACCCCACUCUGAGACAAACCUGGGUCACAGGAACCAUAGGGAAGAUGUCUGCAGUAGAAGGGGACCUCGAAGUACUCAAGUACUUGGCUCACAACAGCACUAUUCACAUAAAGCCUGGCCUGCCCCUUGGUGACCUCCUUCCCUUACGCCUCUAGACUCUACUAGGUGAUCAGAAAUCCCUGCAAGCUAGUUGGGGAGGGAAGAGUGAAAGUGAAAAAUGGAGAGGAAACACUGCUACCCGCCCAAUGCCUGAAGCCAAAUGCAAGCCUGGGCCAGGCUUGGGGGAGGAAUCAAGAGGAAGCUUAAACUUAAAAUGAAAUCGAAAGUUUAGACUCCUACAUGGGAUUGGACAUUUUAAAUGCUGAACAGAGCCUAUUUUUAUAGCUAGAAGUUACAGGACAAAUUUUUGGUUAACUGAGAAUGAUCCAAAAAUCAUGUGAAUUUUGUGAUCCAGAAAGUCACAGAACAUGCCCUAGAUUUUAUCCCAGGGGCAGGGAGGAGUGACCUGCAGAGCAAGUUUGAAUUGGUAAAUAGAAAACAAGAAUAAAAUAGUUUGCUGUUUA